UAUCAUUAGUUGCCAUCAGGUCAAGCUGGGGACUCUAAUGAAACUGCCUACGCAAGGUAGUGAGGAAGGUGGGGAUGACGUCAAAUCAGCACGGCCCUUACUCCGGGGCGACACACGUGUUACAAUGGGUGGUACAAAGGGCAGCUACCUGGCGACAGGAUGCUAAUCUCCAAAACCACUCUCAGUUCGGAUCGGAGUCUGCAACUCGACUCCGUGAAGCUGGAUUCGCUAGUAAUCGCGCAUCAGCCACGGCGCGGUGAAUACGGUUCCCGGGCCUU
rnacentral:rRNA from 1 species